GAGAAGUCUGGAAUGAGAAGGUUUGGAAAAGCUGGAUCAGAACUCAGCACUGCAAUGCUCUAUUGUUGUUGCAAAGAUUUGACUACAAGUGCUGGCUUUGGAACACGCUCAGCAUUUCCCACCCAGCACUUCCUCUUACCCUCGUCUACUUUGGGAGCGACAUGGUUGCAAAGGGAAAAGUCCAGGACAUUUUAAAUUUCUGUGUUGUUGCUGACUACGUAGAAACCAGAGAGAGUAAUUUUCGCAGAGGAACUGAGGCAAGACUGCCAAAUCAUUCCACAAGUCGGCCUCCAACUGCAGCUUCAUCCGUGGAGUGUAAAUAACAACGUGGAAGGGUCUCAGCCGAUGAAUUGUGCCUGUUCUUCAGAAGCAACAUGUCCUCAGCGAUCGUUUCCUCUGUCACGUGAGUCACAAUACCUGCAAAGAUGCUAGAAAUGAGCUCUCUAAGUGUGUUACGUUUGUCUUGUUUGAGCUUUGCCUGUGGCCUAUUAACAGUCCCUUGGAGUUGUCAAAGGAGCAAUGCCAAUUUACAUUAGUUUGGAACAGUUUAUACAAACGGGUUAAUCUAACACUCUGAAUCCCGUGCUUUGAAUUUUAACAGCAACUUGGUCUUUGCUCACUGAUCUGCUCUUUGAGACAGACCAAACCUCAUAGGAAACCAAACAGCACAGCCAAAGCCUCUUUUAUUAACUGAGCUUAUAAGUUAUUUUGUCCUUUAUAGAAAGAAGUGUUUUCUAAUGUGCUGUGAAUUAAUAUAAGUGAUCACAUAUUGCUAACUACAACAUUUCACAGAUCCGACUGCAUUUAAAAUGUUGACUUCUGCUUUGUUUGGAGAGAAGAAAAAACAGGGUUUACAUUUAAAUUUCUUCAACCAUCAGGCUGGGGAGCAGCCCAGUAGAAAAGGACCUGGGGGUUCUGGCUGACAGCUGAACUUGAGCCUGUGUGUGCCCAGGUGGCCAAGGGCAACCUGGCUUGUACCAGUAACAAUGUGGCCAGCAAGACUAGGGCAGUGCUGGCCGCUGCUGAGGCCAGACCUUGAACCUUGGGUUCAGUUUUGGGCCCCUCACAACAAGAAAGGCAUUGAGGCGCUGGAGCGUGUCCAGAGAAGGGAACGGAGAUGGGGAAGGGUCUGGAGCACAAGUCUGAUGAGGAGCGGCUGAGGGAGCUGGGGGGGCUCAGCCUGGAGAAAAGGAGGCUCAGGGAGGACUUUAUAAGGGUUAGAGGGGCAGCUGAACAAGGGGUGGCUGAGGUCACUCGUUUUGUUCAGCCUGGAUGAGACCAAGGGGAGCCCAUAUCGAGGUCUGCAGCUUCCUCAUGAGGGGCAGAGGAGGGGCAGGGACUGUUCUCUCCUCUCUGGUGACCAGCGACAGGACUUGAGGGAGUGGCAUGAAGCCAUGCCAUGGGGAUUUAGAUUGGAUGUGAGGGAAAAUUCCUCCACGGAAAGGGUUGUCCAACCCUGGCAGAGGCUGCCCAGGGCAGCGGCGGAGUUACCAUCCCUAGAGGGAUUUAAGUGUGUGGAUAUGGCACUUGGGGACAUGGUUUAGCGGUGGCCUUGGCCGUGCUGGGUUAACGUCGGUCUCCGUGAUCUCAGAGGGCUUUUCCCACCUCAACAAUUCUAUGAAACAACACACGGCGAGGGGGGGGGAAGGCGGGGGGGAGCUGAGCGCUGCAUCUUUAUCACCGGAGUCGCUGCAGCGGCAACACCGAGGGAUCCUGGGGACUCGCUGAACCCUCCCGGUUCCCGCGGGCGGCGGGGCGGAGCGGAGGGGCCCGGCCCGGG